AGCGAACGCUGGCGGCAGGCCUAACACAUGCAAGUCGAACGGACCCUUCGGGGUUAGUGGCGGACGGGUGAGUAACACGUGGGAACGUGCCUUUAGGUUCGGAAUAGCUCCUGGAAACGGGUGGUAAUGCCGAGUGUGCCCUUCGGGGGAAAGAUUUAUCGCCUUUAGAGCGGCCCGCGUCUGAUUAGCUAGUUGGUGAGGUAAUGGCUCACCAAGGCCACGAUCAGUAGCUGGUCUGAGAGGAUGACCAGCCACAUUGGGACUGAGACACGGCCCAAACUCCUACGGGAGGCAGCAGUGGGGAAUCUUGCGCAAUGGGCGAAAGCCUGACGCAGCCAUGCCGCGUGGAUGAUGAAGGUCUUAGGAUUGUAAAAUCCUUUCACCGGUGAAGAUAAUGACUGUAGCCGGAGAAGAAGCCCCGGCUAACUUCGUGCCAGCAGCCGCGGUAAUAC
rnacentral:rRNA from 1 species